rfam:Penicillium chrysogenum Wisconsin 54-1255 complete genome, contig Pc00c18
GGCGGUUUGGCCGAGUGGUCUAAGGCGAUUGACUCGAACAGAGCAUGCAAAUUUCCGUUCUCCUUCUCAAGGGAAUGAAAUCAUAUGUUGUAUGUGUUCUUGAAAUCAAUUCCGUUCGCGGGCGCAUGUUCGAAUCAUGCAGCCGUCG